GGAAAGCAAUCGCUAGAUUCACGGUUUCCUUUUCCUUCGGAUCGUUCGGUCGUUCUUCCGCUGGCCGCUGUUCGUCUAAUCGCCGUCUUCAACUCCGCGUCUCUGCGGCCUCUCACGAACGAGACGACGAUGGCCGCCGACUGCAGCAGGCAGCAGCAAGGUAAUUAUUCCUUUCAGUUUCAAAAAGUUGAAAUUAUUGAAGAACUACCUGAGAUCUACAAUGUCGCAAGAGACGUUAAAUGGCCUGGCAACUUGAUGCAUUGAGAAAAAAUUGCUUGAAGAAAUUGAUAUUGAUACAAUCAUUACCGAUUUUGCAUCUCAAAAUGUUGGAAGAAAAUUUUGAAGGGCGGACGGACGGCGUGAACUCUGAUUCGAUCCGGUUGUUCUUGAGGGAAGGUUGGCUAGAGAUAUCCUGGAAAAGUGCCAGCCCCUUUCGGUUCAUAAUGAGACGGGACUAAUUCUAUUUUUUUAUUCUAUAGAUUAUUUCGCUUAGUACUAUGUAUGAGAUGAAAACCUCAUGUAAUGGAACGGAGAUUUUUUGAAUAGA